rnacentral:lncRNA from 1 species
UGAUAGUGAAUCUAAAAAUACUGAUAGCUCGCACAGUUUUCCUCCAGAAUGCCCAAGUUGCAUCUAAAAUUUUUUUCUAAUGUUCUACUUGUUUAUUGAUCAAAUCCUUACCUAAAUCGCAGUGGAACUAGGGAUCAAAUUCCAAAUUAUCUGAUAUAAAUCUUUGCGGAGGCCUAGAUAUGCAGACCCUCUACUUCGCAUGCAUGUCAGAUACCAC